rnacentral:rRNA from 1 species
GAUGAACGCUGGCUACAGGCUUAACACAUGCAAGUCGAGGGGAAACGACGGGGAAGCUUGCUUCCCCGGGCGUCGACCGGCGCACGGGUGAGUAACGCGUAUCCAACCUGCCUCUGACUGAGGGAUAACCCGUCGAAAGUUGGCCUAAUACCUCAUGGUAUCGUCUGCGGGCAUCCAACGACGAUUAAAGAUUUCAUCGGUCAGGGAUGGGGAUGCGUCUGAUUAGCUUGUUGGCGGGGUAACGGCCCACCAAGGCUACGAUCAGUAGGGGUUCUGAGAGAAAGGUCCCCCCACAUGGGAACUGAGACACGGUCCAAACUCCUCCGGAGGCACCGUUGAGAAAAUUGGCCAAGGGCGAAGAGCCUGACCAGCCAAGUAGCGUGAGGAAGACGCCCUAUGGGUUGUAACCGCUUUUAUGCCGGGGAUAAAGUGAGAGGCGUGUUCCCUCAUUGCAGGGACCGCAUGAAUAAGGACCGGCUAAUUCCGUGGCCAGGCAGCCGCGGUAAUACGGAAAGGUCCUGGCGUUAUCCCGGAUUUAUUGGGUUUAAAGGGAGCGUAGGCCGUGGAUUAAGCGUGUUGUGAAAUGCAGGUGCUCAACGUCUGCACUGCACCGCGAACUGGUCCACUUGAGUGUGCGCAACGCAGGCGGAAUUCGUCGUGUAGCGGGGAAAUGCUUAGAUAUGACGAAGAACUCCGAUGCGAAGGCAGCUUGCCGGGAGCACAACUGACGCUGAAGCUCGAAAGUGCGGGUAUCGAACAGG